ACUACAAAUCUCCUUAAAAAAAAAUGAAAAUCGUAUUCCUCACUCUCUCUCUCUCGCUCUGUUCCUGUUCUUCUCAUUACAGUUGAAAACCCUAACACCUGCAAUCUCCUCCCCAUACCCUUCCUCUUCUUUGUCUGGAGCAACCAAAGCGUUUACCUUCCUGUAACCCGCUUCCAAAUUUCACCUUUCCUCAGUUGUUCGUUAACGCGUUGAGGAGGUUGCCAUCAAGAUGAUGCGUCGUGCCGUGUCGUAGCUGAGAGGUAUGUCUAGGGUGAAGAAGUUCUUUGCUGCAAAGGAAAGGCACAAUACUGACAACGUUGUGGUGAAGCCAUUGGACCCAGUGGCUUACCUUGUUCGCUCAUCGCAACGGUGUUGUCGCACUGAAGAGAAACUUCGCAAAGAAGGCGCAAAUUGGCUUAAAGUGUGUGGUGGAAAACAUGGAGAGAAAGGUAUUGCAUGGAACAAGAGGAAGAUUAAGUAAGCAAUUAAACGAGAAUGGAGUUUCCUGUGAUUGGUGUAAAACCUUGGCUCUUGGAAUGACUAGUUGGCAACUUGAAUAUUUUGCUGCCCCAAAACGUUUGGACAUAGGAAAAGAAACAAGUCAGCCUUAGAUGAUACAAAAUAAAGAUGCAAAUGGCUUGAUCUGGAAUUGGUCGUUCAAAGAUUUGCUAGCCACUAGCUCAUUCGAGACUCUUGGAGAUGUUGGGGCCAAUCAUUCUAACUUCUCAUAGUUAUUUUCAGGCAACUGAGUAGCAGACUGUUGUCAUAUUCAGAUCGUUCAGUUUUCUUAUUGGCGAUGGAGAAUCUUCGAUGAAGCUUGACCUUCGUACGAGUCGGAGAGGAGAACUUGAAGAACUGUGGAAGACUUGAAGAAUAGAGUCGGGUGUAGAGUUAGAAAGCUAACCAUUAUUGGUUUAAGCUUGCAUAACGAUUUUAGAGAUUUAUAUUUGGGGUUUCGGGUACUCGCCUUGUUCAAGGCUUGAUGUAAAUCCCUUUGUAGUUGGGAGUAUGCAUGACAUGUUUUGGAAAUACAUUUGAAAAGAAAAAAUAUACUCGUGUUUAUACAUUCUUUUGGAAAAUAUUGCAUAUUUACUUUAAUAGGUUACUAAAGUGACACCCGAAAUUCGGGGCGUUACAGCCGCUGCCACAUCUUCUUCUCAACUAUAGCCGCCACUACAUGCAUCCUCUUAUUUCCUCUCUUCCUCCUUGGUUAUGUGACAAUUUCAACCAUUCAAAACCGAAGUUCUGGCCCAAAUCCGACUGCACCCGUCCGUCGGACACCCCUAGCAUUUUGUUCCUCAACUUCUCGGUCCAUCUGAAUUCUCCGGGCUUCAUGCUCAGUUUGUAG